UACGUAGGGGCCGAGCGUUGUCCGGAAUUACUGGGCGUAAAGCGCGCGCAGGCGGCUGAUCAAGCCUGACGUGAAAGCCCCCGGCUCAACCGGGGAGGGUCGUCGGGGACUGGUUGGCUUGAGGGCGGUAGGGGCCGGUGGAAUUCCCGGUGUAGUGGUGAAAUGCGUAGAGAUCGGGAGGAACACCAGUGGCGAAGGCGGCCGGCUGGGCCGACCCUGACGCUGAGGUACGAAAGCGUGGGGAGCAAACAGG
rnacentral:rRNA from 1 species